rnacentral:misc_RNA from 1 species
GAUGAAGAAACGCAGCGAAAUGCGAUAAGUAGUGUGAAUUGCAGAAUUCAGUGAAUCAUCGAAUCUUUGAACGCACAUUGCGCCCUUUGGUAUUCCUUAGGGCAUGCCUGUUCGAGCGUCAUUUAAACCUUCAAGCUAAGCUUGGUGUUGGGUGACUGUCCGCUUCACUGCGGACUCGCCUCAAAAUUAUUGGCGGCCGGUACAUUGGCUUCGAGCGCAGCAGAAACGCGAACUCGGGCCCGUCGUAUUGGCUCCCAGAAGCUAUCUUCACAAUUUUGACCUCGGAUCAGGUAGGGAUACCCGCUGAACUUAAGCAUAUCAAUAAGCGGAGGA